rnacentral:rRNA from 1 species
AGUGAACGCUGGCGGUAGGCCUAACACAUGCAAGUCGAACGGCAGCACAGUAAGAGCUUGCUCUUACGGGUGGCGAGUGGCGGACGGGUGAGGAAUACAUCGGAAUCUACUUUUUCGUGGGGGAUAACGUAGGGAAACUUACGCUAAUACCGCAUACGACCUACGGGUGAAAGCAGGAGAUCUUCGGACCUUGCGCGAUUGAAUGAGCCGAUGUCGGAUUAGCUAGUUGGCGGGGUAAAGGCCCACCAAGGCGACGAUCCGUAGCUGGUCUGAGAGGAUGAUCAGCCACACUGGAACUGAGACACGGUUCAGACUCCUACGGGAGGCAGCAGUGGGGAAUAUUGGACAAGGGGCGCAAGCCUGAUCCAGCCAUACCGCGUGGGUGAAGAAGGCCUUCGGGUUGUAAAGCCCUUUUGUUGGGAAAGAAAAGCAGCAGGUUAAUACCCCGCUGUUCUGACGGUACCCAAAGAAUAAGCACCGGCUAACUUCGUG